UAUGCACCCAGGGGAAGUUGUACCUUUCUUUUUUCAGAAAGAAUGGCAUUCAUACCAAAGUAAGUCUAUAAGGUCAACAUAGGCAGUUGCAUGAUAUUGGAGAGAACACAUUAAGCAAUGGUUGCAGCCUUAGAUUAACUUGAAACUAAUGAACAUCUCCCCAGGACAAUAAAGCAACACUGCCACAGACACCUGCCCCUGCACAGACUGUGCAACAACAUAGGGCUGCUAUCACCAAACCUAGGAAACUAUCCAGUGCAAUGUCUGCUGCAAAAGCCACCUCCCACCAAAUCACAGACAGCUGGCAUGGAACCCCAGAGGUGAAGACCCAGUGAUA
rnacentral:lncRNA from 1 species